UAACUCCUUUCGAUGAGACCAAACUCAUCAGAAAGGAAAUCUUUUAGCUUAAUGAAUGAAUCACAGCCCAGCAUAGGGAGAAAGUGAAGAGAGCCUCCCCGGUUCAGAGGCAUGUUCUUGCACAGGAAAUUUGCCAGGGAAUCGCUGCAACAUUAAGAAGAGCCUGCCACAAGAUGACAAUUCAGAGUACAGAUUCUUUCAUAAGAAGCGUAUCUUCUAGGAGAAUGAAAACCAAGCAAAAAGAGAAAUCAAAGGUACAUGCUAAGAGGCUAUCACAUACAAGUUCAUCAUAUUGCAUAACUAUGCAAACACAAACUAAUGCAAUUAGAAGAAAGACAGUACAAUGAGUAUAGAUAAGUAUGCAACCACUGGCAUCCUCAUAAGACUUUUGAAGUGGCCCCAAGCAACUAACACUUCAUCUCAGCCCACUUCAUGAAAAACAGAACAACGACUGGACUCAUAAAGGAUCCAGUUUAUGAACCAUUACCCUAGAAGUAAGAUGAUCAAAAUGCACUACAUGAAUAGCAUGAGGAUCAUAACAACAGGAGACAUCAUAGAAAAGUUGGAUGAUCGAUCUUGCUAACCAGAUCUGAGUGCAGCAGCAGAGAUGAAGGAAUCCCCAUCCCUCUUUUUUUUUUUUUUUUUUGAAUGUGUUUAGUGUCCCACUUCCUCCAGAGGAAGCAGGAGAGUCAAAAAAGAUAGCAGGUGGGAUAGGAUACGGAUAGCAUCUGAUUCCCAUGACCCAAUAUGAUUUACUGAGCAGUGGCUGAACUCCCACCAAGCAGGGUGAAACAUGAAAAAACUGACACAACUUAAGCAACAAUCAAAACGCCUAAAAUAUUGCUCCAGCAGGGUCCCUUUAUUAGGAAAUUCCACCAGAACUCACUCAGAGGAAAAUCCCAUUCCAUCAGGUCAAAAUAAAUUGCAGUGGGCACUUCCUAUGAAAUAUAUCUUAUAAGAACUCCAGUGGCUGUUCUUUUCUACUUUUUAGGAAAAAAAAGGUGCUGCCAUCCUAACCAACCCCCACCAAAAAGUAGCAGCUAACUACAAAUCCAUUUUAGACCUGGAAUAAAUCUACUUUUGAGCCUCAUUCCAGGUUAAGGGAAUAGUGAAAUGACACAGCAUUGUCAUGGAUUUGGCAUGCCAUUUAACAUGGAGCUGAAACUUCCAGAUGGAAAUAUGAUGUCACAAGGAAAUAGCAGUUGACAAGUUGAAUAGUUGCAUUUUAAUGGAUAUCUGAACCUAUACCGAUUAAAGCAAUGGAUUGGCCAAACUGCCAAACCAAAAGUAGCUGACACUAUUUGGUGUCAAUGCAAGAAUGAUACCAUAACCAAGGGAAAUCCACUACUUUGAGUGUCAUUGACAGUAAUUUAGUACUGGGAAACUAAAGUGGUGUCCAUGGCUUUACAGUAUUCUGAUAAACAAAUCUGUUGCCAUUUGCAUACUUUGGGGUUCAAUCCAAACCCACCUAUAGCAUUCGCAGAGUGAAAAUAUACAAUUUAUAAAUUUUCCUAGUGCUGACACCCUAUAUGAAGUGCUGCAUGUAUUCAUCUUGUUCAUGCAUGAAGAAUAUAU